rnacentral:rRNA from 1 species
UACAGAGGGGGCAAGCGUUGUUCGGAAUUACUGGGCGUAAAGGGCGCGUAGGCGGCCGCCUAAGUCAGACGUGAAAUCCCUCGGCUCAACCGGGGAACUGCGUCGGAUACUGGAUGGCUUGAAUUCGGGAGAGGGAUGCAGAAUUCCAGGUGUAGCGGUGAAAUGCGUAGAUAUCUGGAGGAAUACCGGUGGCGAAGGCGGCAUCCUGGACCGACAUUGACGCUGAUGAGCGAAAGCUAGGGGAGCAAACGGG